UACGGAAGGGGCAAGCGUUGUUCGGAAUCAUUGGGCGUAAAGGGCGCGUAGGUGGCUCUGUAUGUCUACCGUGAAAGCGUACGGCUCAACCGUAUUUUGUCGGUAGAAACUGCAGGACUUGAGGCUGGGAGGGGCUGGUGGAAUUCCCUGUGUAGCGGUGAAAUGCGUAGAGAUGGGGGAGAACACUCGUGGCGAAGGCGGCCAGCUAGACCAGUUCUGACACUGGAGGCGCGACAGCGUGGGGAGCAAACAGG
rnacentral:rRNA from 1 species